rnacentral:rRNA from 1 species
UACGUAGGGUGCAGGCGUUAAUCGGAAUUACUGGGCGUAAAGCGUGCGCAGGCGGUUUGCUAAGACAGGUGUGAAAUCCCCGGGCUUAACCCUGGAACUGCAUUUGAUACUGGGAGACUAGAGUGUGGAAGAGGAUAGUGGAAUUCCCGGUGUAGCGGUGAAAUGCGUAGAUAUCGGGAGGAACAUCAGUGGCGAAGGCGGCUAUCUGGUCUAACACUGACACUCAACUGCGAAAGCGUGGGGAGCAAACAGG